GACGAACGCUGGCGGCGUGCUUAACACAUGCAAGUCGAACGGAAAGGCCCUGCUUUUGUGGGGCUCUCGAGUGGCGAACGGGUGUGAAACACGUGUGUAACCUGCCCCUGUCUGUGGGAUAACUUCAGGAAACUGGGGCUAAUACCGGAUAGGAGCUCCUGAUGCAUGGUGGGGGUUGGAAAGUUUCGGUGGUUGGGGAUGGACUCGCGGGUUAUCAGCUGGUUGGUGGGGUAGUGGCUUACCAAGGUUUUGAGGGGUAGCCGGCCUGGGAGGGCGACCGGCCACAUUGGGACUGAGAUAGGGCCCAGACUCCAACGGGAGGCAGCAGUGGGGAGUAUUGCACAAUGGGCGGAAGCCUGUGGCGGCAGCGCCGCGUGCGGGAUAACGGCCUUCGGGUGUAAAACCGCUUUGGCAGGUAACGAGCCGUGAGUGACGGUAAUGAGUAAAGAAGCACCGGCUAACUACGUG
rnacentral:rRNA from 1 species